rnacentral:rRNA from 1 species
AGUGAACGCUGGCGGUAGGCCUAACACAUGCAAGUCGAACGGCAGCACAGUAAGAGCUUGCUCUUACGGGUGGCGCGUGGCGGACGGGUGAGGAAUACAUCGGAAUCUACUUUUUCGUGGGGGAUAACGUAGGGAAACUUACGCUAAUACCGCAUACGACCUACGGGUGAAAGCAGGGGAUCUUCGGACCUUGCGCGAUUGAAUGAGCCGAUGUCGGAUUAGCUAGUUGGCGGGGUAAAGGCCCACCAAGGCGACGAUCCGUAGCUGGUCUGAGAGGAGGAUCAGCCACACUGGAGCUGAGACACGGGCCAGACUCCUACGGGAGGCAGCAGAGGGAAUAUUGGACAAUGGGCGCAAGCCUGAUCCAGCCAUACCGCGUGGGUGAAGAAGGCCUUCGGGUUGUAAAGCCCUUUUGUUGGGAAAGAAAAGCAGCAGGUUAAUACCCCGCUGUUCUGACGGUACCCAAAGAAUAAGCACCGGCUAACUUCGUG